rnacentral:rRNA from 1 species
ACGCUCGACACCUACGGGAGGUAGCAGUGGGGGAUAUUGCACAAUGGGGGAAACCCGUGAUGCAGCGACGCCGCGUGGAGGAAGAAGGUCUUCGGAUUGUAAACUCCUGUUGUUGGGGAAAAGAGGAUGGUACCCAACAAGGAAGUGACGGCUAACUACGUGCCAACAGCCGCGGUAAUCUGAGCGGGCGUGGCAAGGC